rnacentral:rRNA from 1 species
AGCAGUCGCCGCGGGAAUACGUAGGUCCCGAGCGUUGUCCGGAUUUAUUGGGCGUAAAGCGAGCGCAGGCGGUUAGAUAAGUCUGAAGUUAAAGGCUGUGGCUUAACCAUAGUACGCUUUGGAAACUGUUUAACUUGAGUGCAAGAGGGGAGAGUGGAAUUCCAUGUGUAGCGGUGAAAUGCGUAGAUAUAUGGAGGAACACCGGUGGCGAAAGCGGCUCUCUGGCUUGUAACUGACGCUGAGGCUCGAAAGCGUGGGGAGCAAACAGGAUUAGAUACCCGGGUAGUCCCUGUCUCUUAUACC